rnacentral:rRNA from 1 species
UCCCCCCCGGGCUCCACCCUGUGGACUGCCAUCCCAAAAUACUGAGCUUAGAGUACGGUAGAGGGGGUGGGUGGAUUUUCCUUGUUUAGCGGGUGGAAUUGGCGUAGAUAUUGGGAAGGAACACCAGGUGGGCGGAUGGCGGAUCCACCUUGACUUGAUACUUACAAUGAGGUGCGAAAAGCGUGGGGAGGCAAACCAGGAUUAGAUACCCUGGGUAGUUCCACCGCCCGUAAACGAUGUUCGACUAGGCCGUUGGGGAUCCCUUGAGAUCUUUAGUGGCGCAGCUAACGCGAUAAGUCGACCGCCUGGGGGAGUACGGCCCGCAAGGUUAAAACUCAAAAUGAAUUGACGGGGGCCCGCACAAGCGGUGGAGCAUGUGGUUUAAUUUUGAAGCAACGCGAAGAACCUUACCUGGCCUUGACAUGCUGAGAACUUUCCAGAGAUGGAUUGGUGCCUUCGGGAACUCAGACACAGGUGCUGCAUGGCUGUCGUCAGCUCGUGUCGUGAGAUGUUGGGUUAAGUCCCGUAACGAGCGCAACCCUUGUCCUUAGUUACCAGCACCUCGGGUGGGCACUCUAAGGAGACUGCCGGUGACAAACCGGAGGAAGGUGGGGAUGACGUCAAGUCAUCAUGGCCCUUACGGCCAGGGCUACACACGUGCUACAAUGGUCGGUACAAAGGGUUGCCAAGCCGCGAGGUGGAGCUAAUCCCAUAAAACCGAUCGUAGUCCGGAUCGCAGUCUGCAACUCGACUGCGUGAAGUCGGAAUCGCUAGUAAUCGUGAAUCAGAAUGUCACGGUGAAUACGUUCCCGGGCCUUGUACACACCGCCCGUCACACCAUGGGAGUGGGUUGCUCCAGAAGUAGCUAGUCUAACCGCAAGGGGGACGGUACCACGGAGUAUUUCUGUCG